GGUAUAGAGGCGUGGUCCUUGAAAAAGAAGAAAAUGGAGACUAUUCAUGUCAGACCGUCGAUUUCGGAAAUCAAAUAGUAGUCAAAAGCAAGGAUAUCAGGAGGUUUCAGGAACAUCUGAAAAACAUACCCAUCUUAGGAAUUUCCUGUGAAUGUGUUGGUAUCCCGUACAAUGACGCUGUUCUCAACAAAUUGAAAGAGCUUAUACCCGAAGGGGAAGAAGUGACUGUGGUAGUCAAGGGAUUUGAAGAACUGAAAUACCAAAUAGAACUACCGAAUGUGUAUAAAAUUUUGAAGGAAGAGGGUUUGUGUUGAACUGAAAUCCUCUUGUAGAUCAUUUUUUCUAUGAAAAAAUUUUUUAAAGACUAAA